rnacentral:rRNA from 1 species
UACGUAGGGGGCAAGCGUUGUCCGGAAUCAUUGGGCGUAAAGAGCGUGUAGGCGGCCCGGUAAGUCCGCUGUGAAAGUCCAGGGCUCAACCCUGGGAUGCCGGUGGAUACUGUCGGGCUCGAGUCCGGAAGAGGAGUGUGGAAUUCCUGGUGUAGCGGUGAAAUGCGCAGAUAUUAGGAGGAACACCAAUGGCGAAGGCAGCACUCUGGGACGUGACUGACGCUGAGACGCGAAAGCGUGGGGAGCAAACAGG